rnacentral:rRNA from 16 species
GGAUGCGAUCAUACCAGCACUAAAGCACCGGAUCCCAUACAAAACUUCGAAGUUAAGCGUGCUUGGGCGAGAGUAGUACUAGGAUGGGUGACCUCCUGGGAAGUCCUCGUGUUGCAUUCC